CCCUUCUUCCUCCUUGAAGCUUUCAAUUUUAGGCCACGACACUCACUCUCUUUCCUCUCUCCUGGACAGAUGAUGUUCUGCCAAUCUAUGCUUAUGGCCGUGCAGUGGGGAAGUCAGUCACUGGAGGUUAUGUCUAUCGUGGUUGUGAAUCCCCAAAUCUCAAUGGCCUGUAUAUCUUUGGAGACUUCAUGAGUGGUCGACUUAUGGCUUUGCAGGAAGAUAGAAAAACCAAGAAAUGGAAGAAGCAGGAUCUUUGCCUGGGCAGCACCACGUCCUGUGCCUUCCCGGGGCUGAUCAGCACCCAUAGCAAGUUCAUCAUCUCCUUUGCUGAAGAUGAAGCAGGGGAGCUGUAUUUCCUGGCAACCUCUUACCCAAGUGCCUACGCACCACAUGGAUCUGUUUACAAGUUUGUUGACCCCUCAAGGCGAGCACCCCCAGGCAAGUGCAAAUACAAGCCAGUGCCGGUGAGAACCAAGAGUAAGCGGAUCCCAUUCAGACCACUCGCCAAGACGGUCUUGGACUUGCUAAAGGAGCAAUCAGAGAAAGCUGCUAGAAAAUCUUCCAGUGCAACCUUAGCUUCUGGCCC
rnacentral:sRNA from 1 species